rnacentral:rRNA from 1 species
GGGGGAUAAGCUUCAUUGUCGAAAGGGUAAUAGCCCAGACCACCAGUUAAGGCCCCAAAAUAACUAUUAAGUGAUAAAGGAGGUACUGGUACAUAGACAACCAGGAGGUUUGCUUAGAAGCAGCAAUUCCUUUAAAAAUAGCGUAAUAGCUUACUGGUCAAGUGCCUUUGCGCCAAUAAUGAACGGGGCUAAAUAGUUUGCCGAAGCUGUGGGGUAAAAUACGGUAGAAGAGCGUUCUGUUUAGUUUGAAGUAAUAGCGGGAGCAUUUAUGGACUUAACAGAAGUGAGAAUGUCGGCUUAAGUAACGAAAACAUUGGUGAGAAUCCAAUGCUCCGAAAACCCAAGGUUUCCUUCGCAAGGUUCGUCCUCGGAGGGUUAGUCAGGUCCUAAGAUCAGGCCUAAAGGCGUAGUCAAUGGUUAACAGGUUGAUAUUCCUGUACUACAUUUAAUUUGCUUACGGAUAACGAAGGAGGCUAGACUUACCAAAUUUUGGUUGUUUUGGUCUAAAUUAUCAAGGCGUUGAAAGGAAUUAAAUAAAAAAUUCUUUGAGCUUAGAAAUGAAUGGUAGAGUGUUACGGCAUUUGAAAAGUUAAUGUCAUACUUCCUAGAAAAAUCCUUGUAAGUUUAUUUUUUAUGUACCUGUACCGUAAACUGACACAGGUGGGUGAGUAGAGUAUACUAAGGAGCGCGAGCUAACUCUUUUUAAGGAACUCGGCAAAAUAGUCUUGUAACUUCGGGAGAAAAGAUGCCUUGUUGAUAAAACAAGGUCGCAGUGACCAGAUCUAGGCGACUGUUUACCAAAAACACAGGUCUCAGCAAAGUCGAAAGACGAAGUAUUGGGGCUGACGCCUGCCCAGUGCUAGAAGGUUAAAGAAACCGGUUAGCUUUUGCAAAGCUGGUGACUGAAGCCCUAGUGAACGGCAGCAAUAACUAUGAUUGUUCUAUGGUAGCGAAAUUCCUUGUCGGGUAAGUUCCGACCCGCACGAAAGGCGUAACGAUCUAGAAACUGUCUCAAAAAGAGGCUCGGUGAAAUAGAAUUAACUGUGAAGAUGCGGUUAACUUGCACUUGGACAGAAAGACCCUAUGAAGCUUUACUGUAACUUGAUAUUGAUUUUGGACUUUUUUUGCGCAGUAUAGGUGGGAGGCUACGAUGCUUUUUUUUGGGAAAGUUGAGCCAACAGUGAGAUACCACUCUGAAAAAGUUAGAAAUCUAAUGACAUUGCUUUAACAGAAUGUUUGACAUUGUCAGGCGGGCAGUUUUACUGGGGCGGUAGCCUCCUAAAAGGUAACGGAGGCGUACAAAGGUUUUCUCAGACUGGACGGAAAUUUGUUGUAGAGUAUAAAGGCAAAAGAAAGCUUAACUGUUAGACUUACAAGUCAAGCAGAGACGAAAGUCGGUCUUAGUGAUCCGACGAUACCGAAUGUAAGGGUCGUCGCUUAACGGAUAAAAGUUACUCUAGGGAUAACAGGCUGAUCUCCUCCAAGAGUUCACAUCGACGAGGAGGUUUGGCACCUCGAUGUCGGCUCAUCGCAACCUGGAGCGGUAGUACGUUCCAAGGGUUGGGCUGUUCGCCCAUUAAAGCGGUACGUGAGCUGGGUUCAGAACGUCGAGAGACAGUUCGGUCCAUAUCCGGUGUGAGCGUUAGAAUAUUGAGGUAAGAUUUUUCUAGUACGAGAGGACCGAAAAAUACACACCGCUGGUGUACCAGUUCUUAUACCAAUAAGAAAUGCUGGGUAGUCAUGUGUGGAGUGGAUAUCUGCUGAAA